GACGAACGCUGGCGGCGUGCUUAACACAUGCAAGUCGAACGGAAAGGCCCUGCUUUUGUGGGGUGCUCGAGUGGCGAACGGGUGAGUAACACGUGAGUAACCUGCCCUUGACUUUGGGAUAACUUCAGGAAACUGGGGCUAAUACCGGAUAGGAGCUCCUGCUGCAUGGUGGGGGGUGGAAAGUUUCGGCGGUUGGGGAUGGACUCGCGGCUUGUCAGCUUGUUGGUGGGGUAGUGGCUUACCAAGGCUUUGACGGGUAGCCGGCCUGAGAGGGUCACCGGACACAUUGGGACUGAACUACGACCCGGACUACAACGGGAGGCAGCGGUGGGGAAUAUUGCACAAUGGGCGGAAGCCUGAUGCAGCAACGCCGCGUGCGGGAUGACGGCCUUCGGGUUGUAAACCGCUUUCGCAUGGGACGAAGCGUGAGUGACGGUAAUGGGUAAAGAAGCACCGGCUAACUACGUG
rnacentral:rRNA from 1 species